rnacentral:rRNA from 1 species
ACGCUCGACACCUACGGGAGGCAGCAGUAGGGAAUCUUCCACAAUGGACGCAAGUCUGAUGGAGCAACGCCGCGUGAGUGAAGAAGGUUUUCGGAUCGUAAAGCUCUGUUGUUGGUGAAGAAGGAUAGAGGUAGUAACUGGCCUUUAUUUGACGGUAAUCAACCAGAAAGUCACGGCUAACUACGUGCAAGCAGCCGCUGUAAUCUGAGCGGGCUGGCAAGGC